AACGAACGCUGGCGGCAUGCCUAACACAUGCAAGUCGAACGGGACCUUCGGGUCUAGUGGCGCACGGGUGCGUAACGCGUGGGAACCUGCCCUUAGGUUCGGAAUAACUCCCCGAAAGGGGUGCUAAUACCGGAUAAUGUCUUCGGACCAAAGAUUUAUCGCCUUUGGAUGGGCCCGCGUUGGAUUAGCUAGUUGGUAGGGUAAAAGCCUACCAAGGCGACGAUCCAUAGCUGGUCUGAGAGGAUGAUCAGCCACACUGGGACUGAGCCACGGCCCAGACUCCUACGGGAGGCAGCAGUGGGGAAUAUUGGACAAUCGCCGAAAGCCUGAUCCAGCAAUGCCGCGUGAGUGAUGAAGUCCUUAGGGUUGUAAAGCUCUUUUACCCGGGAUGAUAAUGACAGUACCGGGAGAAUAAGCUCCGGCUAACUCCGUG
rnacentral:rRNA from 1 species